rnacentral:rRNA from 1 species
GAAGCCGAUGAAGGACGUUACUAACGACGAUAUGCUUUGGGGAGCUGUAAGUAAGCUUUGAUCCAGAGAUUUCCGAAUGGGGAAACCCAGCAUGAGUUAUGUCAUGUUAUCGAUAUGUGAAUACAUAGCAUAUCAGAAGGCACACCCGGAGAACUGAAACAUCUUAGUACCCGGAGGAAGAGAAAGAAAAUUCGAUUCCCUUAGUAGCGGCGAGCGAAACGGGAAGAGCCCAAACCAACAAGCUUGCUUGUUGGGGUUGUAGGACACUCUAUACGGAGUUACAAAGGACGACAUUAGACGAAUCAUCUGGAAAGAUGAAUCAAAGAAGGUAAUAAUCCUGUAGUCGAAAAUGUUGUCUCUCUUGAGUGGAUCCUGAGUACGACGGAGCACGUGAAAUUCCGUCGGAAUCUGGGAGGACCAUCUCCUAAGGCUAAAUACUCUCUAGUGACCGAUAGUGAACCAGUACCGUGAGGGAAAGGUGAAAAGCACCCCGGAAGGGGAGUGAAAUAGAACCUGAAACCGUGUGCUUACAAGUAGUCAGAGCCCGUUAAUGGGUGAUGGCGUGCCUUUUGUAGAAUGAACCGGCGAGUUACGAUUUGAUGCAAGGUUAAGCAGUAAAUGUGGAGCCGUAGCGAAAGCGAGUCUGAAUAGGGCGUUUAGUAUUUGGUCGUAGACCCGAAACCAGGUGAUCUACCCUUGGUCAGGUUGAAGUUCAGGUAACACUGAAUGGAGGACCGAACCGACUUACGUUGAAAAGUGAGCGGAUGAACUGAGGGUAGCGGAGAAAUUCCAAUCGAACCUGGAGAUAGCUGGUUCUCUCCGAAAUAGCUUUAGGGCUAGCCUCAAGUGAUGAUUAUUGGAGGUAGAGCACUGUUUGGACGAGGGGCCCCUCUCGGGUUACCGAAUUCAGACAAACUCCGAAUGCCAAUUAAUUUAACUUGGGAGUCAGAACAUGGGUGAUAAGGUCCGUGUUCGAAAGGGAAACAGCCCAGACCACCAGCUAAGGUCCCAAAAUAUAUGUUAAGUGGAAAAGGAUGUGGCGUUGCCCAGACAACUAGGAUGUUGGCUUAGAAGCAGCCAUCAUUUAAAGAGUGCGUAAUAGCUCACUAGUCGAGUGACACUGCGCCGAAAAUGUACCGGGGCUAAACAUAUUACCGAAGCUGUGGAUUGUCCUUUGGACAAUGGUAGGAGAGCGUUCUAAGGGCGUUGAAGCAUGAUCGUAAGGACAUGUGGAGCGCUUAGAAGUGAGAAUGCCGGUGUGAGUAGCGAAAGACGGGUGAGAAUCCCGUCCACCGAUUGACUAAGGUUUCCAGAGGAAGGCUCGUCCGCUCUGGGUUAGUCGGGUCCUAAGCUGAGGCCGACAGGCGUAGGCGAUGGAUAACAGGUUGAUAUUCCUGUACCACCUAUAAUCGUUUUAAUCGAUGGGGGGACGCAGUAGGAUAGGCGAAGCGUG